rnacentral:rRNA from 1 species
AUUGAACGCUGGCGGCAGGCCUAACACAUGCAAGUCGAGCGGAUGAAGGGAGCUUGCUCCUGGAUUCAGCGGCGGACGGGUGAGUAAUGCCUAGGAAUCUGCCUGGUAGUGGGGGAUAACGUCCGGAAACGGGCGCUAAUACCGCAUACGUCCUGAGGGAGAAAGUGGGGGAUCUUCGGACCUCACGCUAUCAGAUGAGCCUAGGUCGGAUUAGCUAGUUGGUGGGGUAAAGGCCUACCAAGGCGACGAUCCGUAACUGGUCUGAGAGGAUGAUCAGUCACACGAGAGUUGAAUACUGGUCCAGGCGCGGAAGCGUGACCGCGAUUGGGAGUGUUGGAGAAUAGGGUCAGGGCUGAUCCAUGCAUGCCGCGUGGGUGAGAAAGGUAGUCAGUUUAUACAGUGCUUUUUGUAGGGAGGAAAAGCAAUAAGCUAAGACCUUGCUGUUGCCAGGAUCCGAACAAAAUAAUCGACCACACAUUUCAUC